rnacentral:tRNA from 1 species
GGGCCCGUAGUCUAGCCUGGAUAGGACACAGGCCUGCGGAGCCUGGAACUCGGGUUCAAAUCCCGACGGGCCCG